rnacentral:rRNA from 1 species
GACGAACGCUGGCGGCGUGCUUAACACAUGCAAGUCGAACGAAGUGGCGAACGGGUGAGUAACGCGUAAUCAACCUGCCAUUCAGAGGGGGACAACAGUUGGAAACGACUGCUAAUACCGCAUACUGAAGGAGGGGAUUGCGUUGUAUAGGAUAGGUGGAGGGGUAACGGCCCAACAAGGCGAUGAUCAGUGGCCGGCCGGAGAGGAUGAACGGCCACAUGGGGACUGAGACACGGCCCAGACUCCUACGGGAGGCAGCAGUGGGGAAUCUUCCGAAAUGGACGAAAGUCUGACGGAGCAACGCCGCGUGAGUGAUGACGGCCUUCGGGUUGUAAAGCUCUGUUAAUCGGGACGCGGUACCGGAAUAGAAAGCCACGGCUAACUACGUGCCAGCAGCCGCGGUAAUUC